rnacentral:pre_miRNA from 1 species
AAAGUACCCCCUCCGUCCCAAAAUUCUUGUCUUAGAUUUGUCUAGAUACGGAUGUAUCAAAUCACAUUUUAGUAUUAGAUACAUCCGUAUCUAGACAAAUCUAAGACAAGAAAUUUGGGACAGAGGGAGUAGUUG